AACGAACGCUGGCGGCAGGCCUAACACAUGCAAGUCGAGCGAAGCCUUCGGGUUUAGUGGCAGACGGCUGAGUAACGCGUAGGCAACCUGUCCCACAGUGAGGGAUAACCCGUCGAAAGACGGGCUAAUACCCCAUUCGCUCCUGGGGUGAAACUCCCCAGGAGGAAAGCCGCAAGGCGCUGAGGGAGGGGCCUGCGUCCUAUCAGGUAGUUGGUGAGGUAACGGCUCACCAAGCCGGCGACGGGUAGCUGGUCUGAGAGGAUGUCCAGCCACACUGGAACUGAGACACGGUCCAGACUCCUACGGGAGGCAGCAGUGGGGAAUAUUGCGCAAUGGGCGCAAGCCUGACGCAGCGACGCCGCGUGAGUGAUGAAGGCCUUCGGGUCGUAAAGCUCUGUCGGACGGGAACGAAAACGCGAAGGGAACAAUACCCCUUCGCUCUGACGGUACCUGUCCAGAAAGCACCGGCUAACUCCGUG
rnacentral:rRNA from 1 species